rnacentral:rRNA from 1 species
AAACCAACAGGGAUUGCCUCAGUAACGGCGAGUGAAGCGGCAAAAGCUCAAUAUUGAAAGCCACGGCAUUGUAAUGGGGAGUCUUGGAGCAGCUACCGUCUAUGUUCGUUGGAACACGACGUCACAGAGGGUGAGAAUCCCGUGCGAUGGUAGCGUAACCGCAUAGUCUCCCCGCACGAGUCGAGUUGUUUGGGAAUGCAGCUCUAAGCGGGAGGUAUAUUUCUUCUAAAGCUAAAUACUGGCGAGAGACCGAUAGCGAACAAGUACAGUGAUGGAAAGAUGAAAAGCACUUUGAAAAGAGAGUGAAACAGUACGUGAAAUUGUUGAAAGGGAAGGGUAGGCAAUCAGAGGGGAGGGUCAGGUGGGGGACAGAGACAAGAGCAGAACAAUGCGCAUUUCCGUAUUGCCUGUAGAUAUCUGUGCCCCGCCUGAGGCCCGCUUAUAGGACUCUCCCAUAAUGAUUGUCUACCAC